rfam:'Nostoc azollae' 0708, complete genome.
AAAAUUAAAUAAGCAAAGCCGGAGACAGCAGGUACUAACAGCUUAAGAUCCUGCCGAGGUUAAUUUUAACUGACUGAAGUUUGCUCAAUAACAAUGUGAGAACUACAGCAUUAAAAGUACCUCUGUGAAACCCCGGCCAAGAUAGCUGGGGUUUAUUAUUUUCCGC